UCAGAUAUUUAGGAUCAAAUCCAGUUGGGAUGAGUAUCGUUGAUGUUGGAAUAUUUUCUGGAUUUCAACCAAACAGAGAUGAUUUGAUAGAGUUGCAAGAAGAUCCUAAUCACUUGAUUGAAAGAUAUGAAAUUUCAAGUAAAGGAGUCGUGUUCUAUUUGAAAACGGUUCCUUCUUGGGAGAAUUAUUGCUUUGAUUUUCAUAUGACUAGAGAAUAUAUUGUUGGAAAAACU